UAGGGAAUCUUCGGCAAUGGGGGGAACCCUGACCGAGCAACGCCGCGUGAGUGAAGAAGGUUUUCGGAUCGUAAAGCUCUGUUGUUAAGGAAGAACGAGUGUGAGAAUGGAAAGUUCAUACUGUGACGGUACUUAACCAGAAAGGGACGGCUAACUACGUGCCAGCAGCCGCGGUAAUACGUAGGUCCCGAGCGUUGUCCGGAUUUAUUGGGCGUAAAGCGAGCGCAGGCGGUUAGAUAAGUCUGAAGUUAAAGGCAGUGGCUCAACCAUUGUAGGCUUUGGAAACUGUUUAACUUGAGUGCAGAAGGGGAGAGUGGAAUUCCAUGUGUAGCGGUGAAAGGCGUAGAUAUAUGGAGGAACACCGGUGGCGAAAGCGGCUCUCUGGUCUGUAACUGACGCGGAGGCUCGAAAGCGUGGGGAGCGAACAGG
rnacentral:rRNA from 1 species